UACAGAGGUCUCAAGCGUUGUUCGGAUUCAUUGGGCGUAAAGGGCGCGUAGGCGGCCACCGCAAGUCGGUUGUGAAAUCUCUGGGCUUAACCCAGAAAGGUCAACCGAUACUGCGGGGCUAGAGUGCAGAAGGGGCAACUGGAAUUCUCGGUGUAGCGGUGAAAUGCGUAGAUAUCGAGAGGAACACCUGCGGCGAAGGCGGGUUGCUGGGCUGACACUGACGCUGAUGUGCGAAAGCUAGGGGAGCGAACGGG
rnacentral:rRNA from 1 species